GGCGGCGUGCUUAACACAUGCAAGUCGAGCGGAAAGGCCCCUUCGGGGGUACUCGAGCGGCGAACGGGUGAGUAACACGUGAGCAACCUGCCCCUGACUUUGGGAUAAGCCCGGGAAACUGGGUCUAAUACCGGAUAUGACCACUCCGGGCAUCUGGUGGUGGUGGAAAGUUUUUCGGUUGGGGAUGGGCUCGCGGCCUAUCAGCUUGUUGGUGGGGUGAUGGCCUACCAAGGCGACGACGGGUAACCGGCCUGAGAGGGCGACCGGUCACACUGGGACUGAGACACGGCCCAGACUCCUACGGGAGGCAGCAGUGGGGAAUAUUGCGCAAUGGGCGGAAGCCUGACGCAGCGACGCCGCGUGGGGGAUGACGGCCUUCGGGUUGUAAACCUCUUUCAGCAGGGACGAAGCUAACGUGACGGUACCUGCAGAAGAAGCGCCGGCUAACUACGUGCCAGCAGCCGCGGUAAUACGUAGGGCGCAAGCGUUGUCCGGAAUUAUUGGGCGUAAAGAGCUCGUAGGCGGUUUGUUGCGUCUGUCGUGAAAGCCCACGGCUUAACCGUGGGUCUGCGGUGGAUACGGGCAGACUAGAGGCAGGUAGGGGAGAACGGAAUUCCCGGUGUAGCGGUGAAAUGCGCAGAUAUCGGGAGGAACACCGGUGGCGAAGGCGGUUCUCUGGGCCUGUACUGACGCUGAGGAGCGAUAGCGUGGGGAGCGAACAGGAUUAGAUACCCUGGUAGUCCACGCCGUAAACGUUGGGCGCUAGGUGUGGGGUCCUUCCACGGAUUCCGCGCCGCAGCUAACGCAUUAAGCGCCCCGCCUGGGGAGUACGGCCGC
rnacentral:rRNA from 1 species